UACGUAGGGGGCAAGCGUUGUCCGGAAUCAUUGGGCGUAAAGAGCGUGUAGGCGGCUCGAUAAGUCUGCUGUGAAAGUCCAGGGCUCAACCCUGGAAGGCCGGUGGAAACUGUCGGGCUAGAGUCCGGAAGAGGCGAGUGGAAUUCCCGGUGUAGCGGUGAAAUGCGCAGAUAUCGGGAGGAACACCAAUGGCGAAGGCGGCACUCUGGGCCGGUACUGACGCUGAGGAGCGAAAGCGUGGGGAGCAAACAGG
rnacentral:rRNA from 1 species